rnacentral:rRNA from 1 species
GAUGAACGCUGACGGCGUGCCUAAUACAUGCAAGUCGAGCGAACAGACGAGGAGCUUGCUCCUCUGACGUUAGCGGCGGACGGGUGAGUAACACGUGGAUAACCUACCUAUAAGACUGGGAUAACUUCGGGAAACCGGAGCUAAUACCGGAUAAUAUAUUGAACCGCAUGGUUCAAUAGUGAAAGACGGUUUUGCUGUCACUUAUAGAUGGAUCCGCGCCGCAUUAGCUAGUUGGUAAGGUAACGGCUUACCAAGGCAACGAUGCGUAGCCGACCUGAGAGGGUGAUCGGCCACACUGGAACUGAGACACGGUCCAGACUCCUACGGGAGGCAGCAGUAGGGAAUCUUCCGCAAUGGGCGAAAGCUUGACGGAGCAACGCCGCGUGAGUGAUGAAGGUCUUCGGAUCGUAAAACUCUGUUAUUAGGGAAGAACAAAUGUGUAAGUAACUAUGCACGUCUUGACGGUACCUAAUCAGAAAGCCACGGCUAACUACGUG